rnacentral:lncRNA from 1 species
UCCAAUAUUCAUCCAAAUCUAACUACAAAUACAAGAUGGAUAAACUACUCUACCUAUACUAUACUAAUGAACCAAGGAAACUCUAGUGAAAACUACAUUUCUGGUGAGUUUCUCUAGCCUUCUCCCAAGUUAUUUUGAAUCCUGCAAGUCCAUGGCUAUAUAUAGAUGAAUGCAAUCAGGAAAUGAGGCUUGAAACAUCCCUUUUACAGCUGCUAAUUGGUUGUCAUACGUUCAUCCAUAGCUGUAAAUUGUUGAAGGAGAAAACAGGUUGUACCAGCAGCUAUUUCUGACCAGAAUCUGGCUACUUCAACUGUUAUUUUCUCUAUAAUGACGGCUAAAUUAGCUCUUGUGAAAAACAUAGAAGUUGUAGCCCAUUGAAAUAGCUGUCCAAUGCCUCAAGAAUCAUCCAAUUUAGAGCUGUCUAGACCGAUAUAUGAUAAAAAUACCACUGACUGGUCAAUUCCGCGUUUUCAGCUCUCAGCAGCAGACUUUUACUUCUGUAUUUUGACAUUUUGACCAGGAAAACAGCCGAAUUGGACUUUUGAUGUCUUCAUACCAAAUGUAGAUCUGUCUCUUAGCUUUAAAAUGAUAUAAAGAUCAUCUGAAUCCAAUGUAUGUAGCCCAAGAUAUAGCCAAAAUACCAACAGAUGCCAAAGCUGACUUUUGUUUGAUUCUUUUGUUCUCAAGUUGCAUUUCUCAGCUGAGUUGAAUUUCGGUAUUUCAACUUUUGGACAAUGAAAACGGCUGAAUUAGAUUCUGAUGUCUUCAUACCAAAUUUAGAUCUAUCUC